AAGGAUCAUUACAAAUCCACGUCUCUUUGAGACACGUUGAAAUGUUGGUGUUGGAGGGCUGCGCUCAAGGGGUGCUGGUGCGUUGUAGUUAUGUUUUCAAGGUUAGAGGGUCGGUCAGGGUCACCUUGCUUGUUUGCUUGGUCACCCCCCACCCCCUCUUCCUACAUAUACUACUACUACUACUAGACAUGCCUUGAGCAGCAAGCAGCCCUUUCCUUCACUCUUUGACAAGUGUUUGAUCAGUUGUAUUUUAAAAAGUUUUACACAACUUAUAACAAUGGAUCUCUAGGCUCUU
rnacentral:misc_RNA from 1 species